rnacentral:lncRNA from 1 species
GUGGCAGUGACAGCGACCAGGACCUUAGUGCUCAGUGAAUAAAACAAAAUACUUUAUCAUUGUGAAUCAUUUCUCUGACCCUUUAUGGCAUGUCUUCUACAAGUCAGAAAUAUCUUUCCCAAGGAUCCAGGAACACUGUAAACAUCAAGACAGAUGGGGCUUCUGCCCCUGUCUCCUAGGCUCUGUGGAGGAGUGGGAACCUAUCUUUAGUGAGCUUCAGUUGGCAAGGAGGCCGAGCUCCUUAAGGCCUGCUAUUCCUUCCAGGGCCCCAGAUUUCUGAAUGAGCAGAGAUCCUGUCCAGCUGACCCCAUACGCGAUGUGAGAUGCACGUGGCCUGUGUUCUCCAGUGGACGAGCGCACACCACUGGGCACCCAGAAAGGGCUUUCUUCCCUGACCGUGUGGCCAGAAUCCCCCCAAAACCAGAAGCACAUAUGGUUGCCAGAGAGACCAACUUUGUGACUCAGAAUGUACCAUCUGCUAAGCAGCUUUUAACUGAAGCUCCAAGAGACAGAAGCUGGCUGGAAAAAAAUCGCGCCAGUUGAUUCAGUAGGAUUAUCUUUGCUAAAAGAGGGCUUUCUGUGUUUAAUUAGUUGGAAGCUGUUCUGUCACAGGCGGAUGAUUUGGAUGUCAGAUGUUUGGGUUUCCUGCUUGCUUCCCCGGCUACACUGUCCAUCUUCCAAUGCAACCAACGUCAUAGAGGCCUUUUAUGCACCGUUUAGGAUUCAGACUCCAGGGACCUCCAGAAGCUUAGCCAGCUCCAUCUGCUCCUACUGGGGGACACUCUCACUUAAGCAAUCACCACUACACAGGUCAACUGUAGUCCUGAGAGUUGAAGGUCACAGUUUCCAUUAUAGAGUCUAGCUUAGCUCUCUGUAACCAAGACGCUUCAGCAACUGUCUGGAGAAGCGGCCUUCCCUGUGGUUUUAGUGAAAACACGAAGUUGCUGGGAAGAUUUGAUAGUGCAGACAGAGACUGUGACUUGCCCAAGCCUCAUAACAGGAGAGAGAUUGAUGGAACCAGAGCCAUUAUUUCCUGCCUUCUAUGAACAGUUGUUGGAUCAGGAGCUGUAGAAUGUCUUCAGUGUAAGAAUCCUGUCUGGAGGGACCGUCCAUAGAAGCUCUCCUGCUCUCCCAACUCCAAGGCAAUUCACCAAGUGACUUCCCACCUGUUUGCCUGUAAUGGUUCCAAGGGGCGAGAGUUACGUGCUACGGUCUAUGGCUCUGAGCUGCUGGUGGGAGACACUGGUAUGCUAUACUACCCAGCUCCUGUCAGAAAGUCAGCUUCACUAUGUGGAGUUCAUCCUCUCCCUCAACCAAUGCCCAAGAAGGAGACUGGACACACAAUACCAUUAAAGGUCAUCAGAGGAAUGGAACACAUAGCGUCAUUAAAAAAACAUCAGAGGGCCGGCGGUGGUGGCGCACACCUUUAAUCCCA